rnacentral:rRNA from 1 species
AUUGAACGCUGGCGGCAUGCUUUACACAUGCAAGUCGAACGGUAACAGGCCGCAAGGUGCUGACGAGUGGCGAACGGGUGAGUAAUGCAUCGGAACGUGCCAGUCGUGGGGGAUAACGCAGCGAAAGCUGCGCUAAUACCGCAUACGAUCUAUGGAUGAAAGCGGGGGACCGUGAGGCCUCGCGCGAUUCGAGCGGCCGAUGUCAGAUUAGGUAGUUGGUGGGGUAAAGGCUCACCAAGCCAACGAUCUGUAGCUGGUCUGAGAGGACGACCAGCCACACUGGGACUGAGACACGGCCCAGACUCCUACGGGAGGCAGCAGUGGGGAAUUUUGGACAAUGGGCGCAAGCCUGAUCCAGCAAUGCCGCGUGCAGGAAGAAGGCCUUCGGGUUGUAAACUGCUUUUGUACGGAACGAAACGGCUCUGGUUAAUACCUGGGGCUAAUGACGGUACCGUAAGAAUAAGCACCGGCUAACUACGUGCCAGCCGCCGCCGUAAUAC